GAUGAACGCUAGCUACAGGCUUAACACAUGCAAGUCGAGGGGUAACAAGAGAAAAGCUUGCUUUUCUUGUUGACGACCGGCGCACGGGUGAGUAACGCGUAUCCAACCUGCCUAUAACUAGGGAAUAACCUUGCGAAAGUAAGACUAAUACCCUAUGAUUUCCUUUGAUGACAUCAGAUUAGGAAUAAAGAUUUAUCGGUUAUAGAUGGGGAUGCGUCUGAUUAGCUUGUUGGCGGGGUAACGGCCCACCAAGGCAACGAUCAGUAGGGGUUCUUAGAGGAAGGUCCCCCACAUUGGAACUGGGAAACGGUCCAAACUCCUACGGGAGGCAGCAGUGAGGAAUAAUGGUCAAUGGACGGAAGCCUGAACCAGCCAAGGAGCGUGCAGGAAGACGGCCCUAUGGGUUGUAAACUGCUUUUAUACAGGAAUAAAGUUAGCCACGUGUGGUUAUUUGUAGGUACUGUAUGAAUAAGGACCGGCUAAUUCCGUGCCAGCAGCCGCCGUAA
rnacentral:rRNA from 1 species